UGGGCAACCUGCCCUCAGCUCUGGGAUAACUCCGGGAAACCGGGGCUAAUGCCGGAUAUGACCACUCCUGGCAUCUGGGGUGGUGGAAAGUUCUUCGGCUGAGGAUGGGCCCGCGGCCUAUCAGCUUGUUGGUGGGGUUACGGCCCACCAAGGCGACGACGGGUAGCCGGCCUGAGAGGGCGACCGGCCACACUGGGACUGAGACACGGCCCAGACUCCUACGGGAGGCA
rnacentral:rRNA from 1 species